GGACCUUUUGGAGGACACGUUGAGUCAAGUUAGAAGCAGAAGAAACAAAAGUGAAGAAUUGGGCGUCAGAAAUGAAACUUACCUUGAAAAAGCAGAAGCGGAAGAACGUGAUGGAGCGCCUAACCGAAAGUUUGGUUUCAUUCACCUUUUGUGCGCACUGAACUCUCGUCAGGAUCAGGUAUAAUCUUUUAUACCUCUACUCUCUCUCUCCCUCUCUUGCUCUCUCUCUCUCUCCUCCCCUUAGGAUGGAUGGAUGAAAAGCAGAGAAGCUCCUCGGGGCGCGCAGACACCUGUCGCACGGCAACGUGUGUGACCUUUGAGCCGACCCCAGCGCCGAAACAAAACGGUCAAUCAGCAUUAAUGGAGACAUUUAUUUACAUUUCUAUUUUGUUUGUAUUCUCGUAUCCGCCAAAAUCACAAGUAACUUUUGCACUUCUUGUUUGCUUUUGGAAUUAGCAUAGGGUCAUUUUCAUUGGACUCGCUUUUUGAUGUGGCAAAUAAGAAUCAUUCAGAAGGCAAACUUUUCAUUGAUACAUUCCACACGGCAGCAUGUUCAGCGUGACUAUUUUAAUCGACUUAUUCAUGGUUGUGAAAAACAAAUGAGACUCAAACAACAUUUUAUACCAAUACAAUUUAUAUUUGGACCGGCAAUGAAUGUAGCUGGUUUAAAAAACAAAACGUAACUGACACUCCAAAUACACAACUCACAUGAAUUAUGAUUAAACAAAGACAUUAUUUGUGCGGAUCGAUAGUGUUCGUUCUGAAGAAUGUAAACUAGUCUGUACAUCCAGUAAGCAAGACCGGCAGAAUGGAUCAAACUACUGAUAAAGCAAAGAAAUAAAAAAAAAAGUGCAGCACGGUCCAAAAAAGUUCCGGCAGUGUCA